CUGCUGCCAAAUACAGUGCGGCAUGUGAUUUUUCUUGCGAAAAGAGUGAAUAAAUGAGCGAUUUUUCCGAAAAUAGUUGGUAAAUUCACUAUUAUUUUGAAUUAAAAAGUAACUGAAAAGUGACUAAAAACGAGUGACUGUAGUAUAAAAACAGUAAUAUCACUCACACCUAUCAGUCACCCUACGGUCUCGAGUCAAAAUCUACACAUUUAGUGCAUAAAAACCCGUUUACCACUCGGUUUCAUUUAUUAUUGGUCACUGGCUUCAAACCUCU